rnacentral:rRNA from 1 species
GACGAACGCUGGCGGCGUGCUUAACACAUGCAAGUCGAACGGAAAGGCCCUGCUUUUGUGGGGUGCUCGAGUGGCGAACGGGUGAGUAACACGUGAGUAACCUGCCCUUGACUUUGGGAUAACUUCAGGAAACUGGGGCUAAUACCGGCUAGGAGCUCCUGCUGCAUGGUGGGGGUUGGAAAGUUUCGGCGGUUGGGGAUGGGCUCGCGGCUUAUCAGCUUGUUGGUGGGGUAGUGGCUUACCAAGGCUUUGACGGGUAGCCGGCCUGAGAGGGUGACCGGCCACAUUGGGACUGAGAUACGGCCCAGACUACUACGGGAGGCAGCAGUGGGGAAUAUAGCACAAUGGGCGGAAGCCUGAUGCAGCAACGCCGCGUGCGGGAUGACGGCCUUCGGGUUGUAAACCGCUUUCGCCUGUGACGAAGCGUGAGUGACGGUAAUGGAUAAAGAAGCACCGGCUAACUACGUG